rnacentral:lncRNA from 1 species
AAAGAAAUAAGGUUCACAUAUGUAAUAUUCACACAACUUGAAAAAGCUUUAAGGAUGAAAGAAGGACGUAAAUUUGAAUAAAAGGGAGGAUUAAUUUGAAAAAGGAGAACAUUUGAAUAAGCAAACAAAAAGAGAGAGGUCCUAGGUUUAACUACAAUUUGGAUCAUUCGAUAAAAUAUCCGCAUAUGUUCCAAAAGAGGGGUCACUUUAUGAUAUUAUCGCAUCCUCAUCUCCAAGAUAUGGGUCCUAGGUUUAACUACAAUAUGGAUCAUUCGAUACAAUAUCCCGCAGAUAUUCCCAAAGAGGGGUCGCUUUUUGAUAUUAUCGCAUCGUCAUCAUCUCCAUAUUCUACCCUUCCCACUCUGUAGAGGUUAUUUAAGCGUGUGAAUUGGCCACGAAUUUUUAUUACGUGCUAUUACCCGUCCCGUCCUAUAGAUCCUAGGGGGAAUUUAGGAUCAUUAUUCCUAUAAGGUAGGAACUAGGUUGAACCCUUAAGUUUAAAGGUUAAAAUGCUAAGCGACAUACAAAACAAAUAGGACUACGAAUAAUGGAAUCACGUAAAGCAUGUAAAGGUUCAAAUAUCCCUCUAUGAACAAUCAUGUAUUUAGCACGUCUCAAACACAUUUAAGGUCUAAGGAAGGAAGAAUUUUUAAAAGCUGGAGCAUAAGUUUAAAAC